UGGGUUGUGGCUCAGUGGUAGAGGACUUGCCUCGCAUGUGUGAGGCUCUGGGUUCGAUCUCAGUACCCCAU
rnacentral:tRNA from 1 species